CCACUGCCUGUCACAGCCCUGCCAGAGCACCCUGCCCAAACCACGGCAGCGGUGAGGAGAGGGCUGUCCGCAGCAGCCCACAAAAUGCUCCACAAGGAGAGUGAACCCAUUUCUCACAGCUGUAUCCAUGACAUCAAGAGGUUGUUUCCCCAGGCUCAGAAAUACUGUGGAAGAAGAGAUGACAACCUUCUAAAAAAAACCCAGAAGGGAAAGAGAGGAAAAGAGGCACAGAGCCUGUCACUUUGUGCUGCAAAAUCUCCAUCAGGCAGCAGACAGACACCGAGACCACAGAGUCCCAGGAUGCACAACUAGGAUUGCUACACCUGGGAGAAGCAGACCUGCUGCCCUCCGGGAGCCAAAAUGCCCACAGGGAUGCUGCAGGAAACCUCAGAGGCUGAUAGAAAUUUACUGAUAAAUGCAGUCUCAAGGAACCAAGACAGACUACCUCAGAGGAGUAGAAACAUCUAAACCAACAGCCAUGGAACUUUUAAAACCUUCUGCAGCACUUUCAGGAUGUGAUAAGUACUUGACCACAAUCAAGACAAACAGUUAAACCUGAUAUCAAUAAAGGUGAUUGAUAUCUCUUUCAUAGUUGAAGUAAUGUGUUGAUAAUAGAAAGUGGUUAAGCACCAGUAUUUUGGCAUAACUUAGCAAAAUACUUUCCAUCUUGCCUAAUAUUGCUCUGGGAAUUGAAGAGUGCUCACAAGCACGGUGGAUGGGAAGACCUCAUUUUCUUCUCAGAAGGAGGCUUUGUCAGAGCUCAAAUGUGCAAUCCAACACAAUGUACAUUUUGGGAUCAAGAAACAUUGUAAAUGAAAAACUAAUUUACACUUUCCAUGGCAAAUAGAAAGCUAAACUUUUUGGUCUCUGGUGUUUUAAUUCUACCUGUUAACUCUGAUGACUUAGCAAUAGUCUCACCAGUACUUAAUACUUUGGUAUACAUUGGUAUAGUUAAAAUCACAUAAAUCAAUCGUGAAAAUGGCUCCUACCCUUCAUCUGUGCCUAAAAAUUACUGUGUAAGAAUUGUCUUUAAUUUUAAUUACAUGGACAUGAUCUAGUGACGUUAAUAUUGUGCUGGUAGCCUACUAAUCUUUUAGUUAAUGCAAAUUGCCCAGAGGCCUAGUUAUGCUCCCAGGAAAAGUCCCAUCAACUUUUGUUUUGUAAAUCUGGAAAUGCUAAUUCAUGUAUUCCCCCCCCUCGACUUACUCAAUGUUUCCUGAGUGUUUUUAUGUGCUCACGGGUGUAAGUAGGCUGCAAGAUCCAGCUCUAGGUAAUUGUAUUAUCCCAGCUUUAAAAUGGCAAGUUAAUAUUACUCAGGAGGCAAUUGCACACAGAUAAAAUCCUGCAGGAUUUUUACUGGAUCUCUGUUAGCAAUCCAAAUAAAGAUAAAGGAUCUAGUCUUAAGUCAUACAGCUGUGUGAACAAUUGAAAUCAAUUGGAGGUGUUGUCAAGCUCACUUGGAUCCCUAGUCACACAGAUAUUUUUGGAAACGAUUACAUAGCUAAAGUAGCAAAGAAAGCAUUAAGAAGGAUUAUGCUGAUAUUCUAGUUUCACUGUCUAGGGAUGUAAUUACGUCUCUUAUCUACUCAAGAGCGAUAACGCCUUCUGGGUUUUUUUUUUUUUGUUUGUAUAAUACAUUUAGGUAUAACCCAGAGAUUUCACAGAAGAAUAUUCCAUGGAAGGCUUUAUGACUAAUUCUUUAGAAAAAAUAACUAGAUAUUUAUUUUAGGAAGUUGGCCAGUUGUUCACUUGGUUUUAAAAUGUAGAUGAUUUCCUGUUUGCUUACGCUAUUCCACUAUACCUCCUGAAACUGUUUGCUUGAAGGCUGCUGUUCACUCUCCCAUUUGCCCCGUCCCAUAGCCUGCUGUACUUGUUGCUGCUGUUAAGCCCUUUGUUUACUGCUGACUUUGGUAGUGUUGCUUGUGUUGAUAGUAAGCAGGUUUGCCAGCAAUUUUGCAAGGACUGCAAAGAUUUGAAAAUAUCCCAUGUCAGAAGAUAAAUCCCGCAUCAAAUAACGACUACUUCAAGUUUCAGUAAUCUAUUUAAAAUGCCACUGUGAUGACUUAAGAGAUGCUUAUAACCUACCACUUAAUUGACCUAAUAUGAAAGUAUUUGAUUUCUGUUUAUGGCACUGUUACAGCUGGAUAUUACUUGAGCUGUCAUUAUUGAUUAUCAGUGCUGAUGUUACUAAUUAGGGCUAUUUGCCGAGAACACUCGGCUCCUCCAAAGAGUGGUUUGUGGCCACCGAGGCUGCCUGGGAGCGAGGAGCAGGUGAGUGGCCCCGCUGCCGGCUCUGCUGGUGCUGUGGCAGGGCACGGGGGCGUAGGGUGGUGGCUGGGCGUGCGCAUGGCAUGGCAGCACUGGGGCUGCUCUGGAGGCACAGAGUGCCUUUGAUUUCACUCAAGGUCUGCAUGCAGAGUGGCACGUCUACAACUGUCAGCUUUUCUCCAUACAGGAGCGCCGCGCAGGGGAGGGACAACCUUGAGGAUGAAGGCAGCACUAAGAUGCUAUCGCAACAAGGUGUUCAGCAAUACAUGUAAGACUUAUAUAAUUGGAGAAGGUCUCUUGUGUCUCUGAGUCCCACUGUGUGCUGUUGUGAUCAUCAGUGCUUCACCAAAUCCCUUUGCAAACUUUUCAGUCUCCAUCUCCCCCUGACUUGGAUAUCUGCCUGGAAUUCUUCAUUUAAGGAAGCUGCUAUAGUACCGAAUUUUCUGUCUGGUAAAUUUGGCUCUAAUUUCUGGGUUAAAUAGGCCAGAAUAAAAGUAGCAAUUCCUGUGUGUGACAAGAAGCAUCUAAAGAGAAGAGAAUGAUGAAGGACAUGUGUGUACCUGUUUUCUUUUGAGAGAAAAAAAGCUGAUACCUCUGUUGUGAUUGAUAGCAAUACAUAACACAUAAAUAUCUGUGGUUCCAAAAGCCAUUGCUAGCAAUGACAACCUUGCCUAGACUGAUGAAUGUUCAAUUUCUGUAGAUAUAAUAUAAUAUAAUAAUAUAUUAGAAACACCCUUUAAAAUAAUAAUGACUGGCUCCAUUUGAAUGAUCUGAAAGCCUUAAAGAGGGAACAAAUGUGUACUGAAAACACUACAAUGUUUCUGUGCUUGGCAGUUAUAAAUAUUUUUUUAAAAAUUCAGCUAGUUGCUUAGCUGACAAUUCAAUUAUUCAGCCUUGUGCUGGAGAAUGUCAUAAAAAAUUGUCUCUAUAGUGACACUGUAGUAAAUCUGAAAUAAAAUAUGUCUUUGGAAUGAACAAAGAAUCUACUUGUUAAUUUUAUUUAUGUGAUAUCAAAGCAAAAACCAUCCAAUUCACCUGCUCGUGUGAUAUCUCUCACUCAGCAGUCUAGAGCACAAAUAAAGUAAGAAUUCUAUCCUUCCAUGUUAAAAACUGUCUCUUUUCUGACUGUACAGUAGUUCUUUGUGUGAGGUUUGUACUGGAUAGACGUUGGAAAAUUAGCCCGUAAAGAAUCAGGAGCCCUCAGGAGGACCUGGACAAAGCUGCUGAAGACAGAGGUUCCUGUGGCGCUGUGAGGCCCUGAACCUCCUGCCACACCAGGAGCCACGUGGUUGUUGGCACUGUGGAUGUGGUCAGUUAAAAGUCAAUCCUGCCUAGGUUUCCCUCUACAGACAAAUUCCCAUGUCUUCUCCGUGAAUAGGGCAGUGAGAUGCUGACAGAGAUUUGUGUUUUAUUUUUUUCCUACAGUGACCAGCUUCAAGAGGAGAACCGAGCAUUAUCACCUGUGCAACCUGGGGAACAUCCCAGUGGUGAGGACACAUUUCUGCAAAAAGUAUCAAACCCCAGGAGGUUUGCAGGAGGUGAUACAGUAGUUGAACAUCCCAGGCUGCUUCGGUGAUGAGAAGACGGCAGUGGCCUGUGAACCACAGUUUGCGUAAUUCCAUUAUUUCCUUACCCAAUAAAGGAAGUACUAAAGCACAAGUCAAACCUGAGAAAGUUGAGACAUGCUAGAUUGAAGAAUUUGUUUGCCAAAUAAAUUCAGAGCGUUUGGAUUUAUGCAACAUGUUACUGCCUUGAACUGCAUGUUCCUUUCACCCACAGGAGUAUUUGUUCGUUCCAUGUACAGAUAACUAUCAUAUUUGUUUUUCUUUUGCUUGUUUCCAGUACUGUUAGGUUUUUAAUGGCUAACCAACUAAACUAACUAAAAUGAAAAAAACCCAAACCCACCAACCUGAAGACACAGACGUUUUGUCAGAUGAUACUGUAUGGACUUAUUCCUAAUGUUUGCCAAUGUAAAUGCAUCCUCGUUUGUCCCCUAGCCAUUGUAAAAGCCAUUAAUAUUCAGAGUGCCUUGGUGAUAGUAGACCUUCACAAGGCAGAGUCACGCAAUGCAGCUCCCAGUCACUCGCUCAUGUGACAGAUUUUAGAUGACUGGCCCUCAGGACAGGCCCAUAUGGUGCAGUAUGACAGACUUGCUGCUUUUCCAGCCUGGCUGGGAAAAACAGUACAGAAGAGGAAUGAAGAAAUUCAGAAGAGUUCAGGCUUUCAGAGGAGUGCCCUGUGCUAUACGUACUCCUCCCAUCACUCUGCAGACUCCUUCCCUGGCCCCCAUCACCACUUUGCCUCCCACCUGUACCUUGACAUCCCACCUGGCUUCUGGUCUCCUAGCUCCAGACCUUCUCUGUUAUGUUUACCCUACUUCAAAAUCCAGCUACCUCUUCUGCUAAUAAAUUGCACCCUAACUAUUUUCCCUGUUCUUCCUUAUUUCCAUACAGAUUUUUUUGUGCCUUGUGGUCUUGAUUUCCUCUCCUCUGAAGUGCAUGGAAAGUGUCUCAGGGACCACAGAGAACUCAACACCCUGAGUCCUUGGUGCUUCCUUCCUCAGCUGAAUCCCUCCUGAGAUUGUCUCCACUCUUUGCCCAGGGCCUUCAUAAUUUUGUGGCAAAUAAGAUUUAUGAUGAAGCCUUGUAGUUUUGGUUAAGAAUUGAGUUCUCACAGGAGCACUGUCAUUUCUAACACCUCAUUGCCACCCUUCAUUCUUAUUUUCAAACACAUCAGUCAGAGCUUAGGGGCAUUAAAAUGUUACAACAAAACCAAUGAGAAUAAUUUAUGGCCCAAGCAUUAUAUUUUUUCCUUAUGCUUAUGGCACUGAUCUAAAUAGUCUUGUGGAGAGGUCUGUGAAACGGAAGGUUUUAUUGCCUUAUUGUGCCUGUGUGAGCCUUCCCAGUGGUAGCUGAUGGUGUGAGAGCUCUUUGUUUACUGUAACCUGUUGGAGUGGUGACUUCUCAGACCACCUGAAGCCAAUUGCACUCACCCCACCAACAACGCCCUUGCUAGGGGAACAGCAGAAAAAAAAUGUAUUGAAACUUGAAGUCAAGACAGGAACCUGGGAGAGAAAUUAAAAUUAUAAGGAACUGAAACCAGAACCUGAUAAAAGAAAGUGUCGAUAACCUUAAACUGCAGGCAUUGCUACUAGUUUAACUUAAACUAUCUGACUUUAUGUUUUACAACCAUAAAUCCCCCUGCAGCUUCACAGGAUACAUUCUUCAGUGUUUGGUGCUUAUAGCUACUGUGUAGUGCUGCUGUGAGCUGUGAAAAGCUGCUCCACUGAGCUACAAUGGCUGGGGAGACUUCUAUAGUGCUCUGUAUGGAGGUGUGUGUGGGUGUGAAUAAAGUGUUUGUUGCAAUUUGAAAGCACUUUAGGUCCCUAAGCCUGGACAGAGCAAAAGGUAUGAUUAUAAGACUUUGUCAGAAUCUAUUGCAUGUCUCUGUUACCUUACUAACAGUUAUUUUAAAAAAUUGCAUAUACAGCAAUAUGAAUUUAAAAAAAAGUACUAAUGUGUUUCCUUUAUUUUUUAUUACGCCAAAAUCUCCAAAGCUCUAAACCCAUGAAGAGUAAUAACAAAACUCUCCAAUAAAGGAUGUAAAAAUUCAUUGUAAUAACACCUAAGAAAUGGUGAAUCAUUCAUACUGCCUAACUAAUACAUCCUGUUCUGCUUCUGCUGGAAACGUAAAAAAUUACAGAAGCAGCCAAAGUAAUAACAAUACAGUGUUUCUUACUAUGAAUAACAUAGAUUGAAGUAGUGAUUUUCUUGUUCAGGAAUUCAAACUUGAACAUGUUGUCAAUAGUAAUACAGUGGUCUGUGUGGUAUUCUAAGAAAAUUCAGCACUAAUAUUAAGGAGGGAAGAAAAGUGCAUAGAGGAAGAAUGUAAGUCUGUCUUUCCCUUCCCCCUCAUUUGCAAAGGAAUGUAAUGGGAUCCUCUUUACAUGCUUGAAAAUGUGAAUGUUGAUUUAUCUUUCUAGAGUAAUUGCAAACUGUUAUUUAAUCAGCAUUGCUGUAUA